AUUGAACGCUGGCGGCAGGCUUAACACAUGCAAGUCGAGCGGGGGAAGGUAGCUUGCUACCGGACCUAGCGGCGGACGGGUGAGUAAUGCUUAGGAAUCUGCCUAUUAGUGGGGGACAACAUCUCGAAAGGGAUGCUAAUACCGCAUACGUCCUACGGGAGAAAGCAGGGGAUCUUCGGACCUCGCGCUAAUAGAUGAGCCUAAGUCGGAUUAGCUAGUUGGUGGGGUAAAGGCCUACCAAGGCGACGAUCUGUAGCGGGUCUGAGAGGAUGAUCCGCCACACUGGGACUGAGACACGGCCCAGACUCCUACGGGAGGCAGCAGUGGGGAAUAUUGGACAAUGGGGGGAACCCUGAUCCAGCCAUGCCGCGUGUGUGAAGAAGGCCUUAUGGUUGUAAAGCACUUUAAGCGAGGAGGAGGCUACUCUAGUUAAUACCUAGGGAUAGUGGACGUUACUCGCAGAAUAAGCACCGGCUAACUCUGUGCCAGCAGCCGCAGUAA
rnacentral:rRNA from 1 species